rnacentral:rRNA from 1 species
UGCGAACUCUGGGGCAGCAGCCGGGGUAAAAAGGCGACUGCAAUGGUUAUACGGAGUCACUGGGCGUAAAUGGUGCGCAGGCGGCCAAAGGUGUGAGGCGGGAAAGCCCGGGGCUUAACCCCGGAAUUGCACCUCAAACUACAUGGCUAGAGCAUUGGAGAGGGUAGCAGAAUUCACGGUGUAGCAGUGAAAUGCGUAGAUAGCGUGAGGAAUACCAGAGGCGAAGGCGGCUACCUGGACAAUUGCUGACGCUCAGGCACGAAAGCGUGGGGAGCAAAAGGGAUUAGAUACCGAGUAGUC